AAUCAACGCUGGCGGCGUGCCUAACACAUGCAAGUCGCACGAGAAAGGGGAGCAAUCCCUGAGUAAAGUGGCGCACGGGUGAGUAACACGUGAAUCAUCUACCUCCGAGUGGGGAAUAACUGAGAGAAAUCUUAGCUAAUACCGCAUAACACUUACGAGUCAAAGCAGCAAUGCGCUUGGAGAGGAGUUCGCGGCCGAUUAGUUAGUUGGCGGGGUAA
rnacentral:rRNA from 1 species